rnacentral:rRNA from 1 species
GGUGGUGCAUGGUUGUCGUCAGCUCGUGUCGUGAGAUGUUGGGUUAAGUCCCGCAACGAGCGCAACCCUUAUUAUCAGUUGCCAGCAUUAAGCUGGGCACUCUGGUGAGACUGCCGGUGACAAACCGGAGGAAGGUGGGGAUGACGUCAAAUCAUCAUGCCCCUUAUGACCUGGGCUACACACGUGCUACAAUGGAUGGUACAACGAGUUGCGAACUCGCGAGAGUAAGCUAAUCUCUUAAAGCCAUUCUCAGUUCGGAUUGUAGGCUGCAACUCGCCUACAUGAAGUCGGAAUCGCUAGUAAUCGCGGAUCAGCAUGCCGCGGUGAAUACGUUCCCGGGUCUUGUACACAC